CACGUAGGGUGCGAGCGUUGUCCGGAAUUAUUGGGCGUAAAGAGCUCGUAGGCGGCUUGUCACGUCGGGUGUGAAAGCCCGGGGCUUAACCCCGGGUCUGCAUUCGAUACGGGCUAGCUAGAGUGUGGUAGGGGAGAUCGGAAUUCCUGGUGUAGCGGUGAAAUGCGCAUAUAUCAGGAGGAACACCGGUGGCGAAGGCGGAUCUCUGGGCCAUUACUGACGCUGAGGAGCGAAAGCGUGGGGAGCGAACAGG
rnacentral:rRNA from 1 species